rnacentral:rRNA from 1 species
UACGUAGGGGGCAAGCGUUGUCCGGAUUUAUUGGGCGUAAAGAGCGUGUAGGCGGCUUUACAGGUCCGUUGUGAAAACUCGAGGCUCAACCUCGAGACGCCGGUGGAAACCGUAAAGCUAGAGUCCGGAAGAGGAGAGUGGAAUUCCUGGUGUAGCGGUGAAAUGCGCAGAUAUCAGGAGGAACACCCGUGGCGAAAGCGGCUCUCUGGGACGGUACUGACGCUGAGACGCGAAAGCGUGGGGAGCAAGCAGG